rnacentral:rRNA from 1 species
GUUGAAACACCAGUUCCCGUACGAUCAUCGAAGUUAAGCAACGUUGAGCCUGAUCAGUACCUAGAUGGGUGACCGCUUGGGAAUGCCAGGUACAGUA